AUUAAUAACAAUAAUCCCACGAUAUUGUCCUAGGGGACAUGUCCCAUAGAGCCACCGUGAGUACAUAUCUGUUCAAUGCCACCCAAUGCAUUGUCAUUACCAAGUGAAGAAAAAAUAUUACAUGCCGAUAAACAAAGUGUCCUAAAACUAUUACUACCCUCCUUAUCCAUGAAAUACAUAUUUUGAGCAAAAUUAGUUGGUUCCAUAAAAUAACUAGCUAUAUUAUAGCUAGGGUGAAGUAAUACUUCCUUGGCCAAUAGGUGUGCCACCUUGUUCCCUUCACAUAAAUUAUGAUUCAUUCUGAUUCCCCCCUCUCCAUUAAGGACCUGUAUUCAUUAAGCAACGUAUUGUAAGUAGGGUAAUCUUCCUUUAGAGAUCGUAUUACCUCAGUUGCAUCUGUCUCUUUUUCACAUGGAAUGAAAUUUUCCUUCAUGCUUAUUUGCAAGGCUUGUUAAAAAGAUAGCAAUUCUACAUGGAUUGGUAAUAUACUUUCACACUUUGCAUAGAAACCCAACAUCCGUUCUCCCUUAUCAUUUCGUAUGACACCAUUGAUGCCACCCUACAGGUUCUCUUCAUUUAAAGAUCCAUCGAUGUUAAUCUUAUACCAAUCCUUAGGAGGAGGACGCUACUUUAUCUUCACUUUAAUGGAUGUAUUAAUAUUGGUAUGUGCAGUAGUUAAUAACUAAUAUUCCAAUGCCUGCUUAAACAUUUUGGUGGUGUUUA
rnacentral:lncRNA from 1 species